rnacentral:rRNA from 1 species
UACGGGGGGGGCAAGCGUUGUUCGGAAUUACUGGGCGUAAAGGGCUCGUAGGCGGCCAACUAAGUCAGACGUGAAAUCCCUCGGCUUAACCGGGGAACUGCAUCUGAUACUGGAUGGCUUGAGUUCGGGAGAGGGAUGCGGAAUUCCAGGUGUAGCGGUGAAAUGCGCAGAUAUCAGGAAGAACACCCGUGGCUAAGGCGGCUCUCUAGUACGUGACUGACGCUGAGACGCGAAAGCGUGGGGAGCGAACAGG